ensembl:lncRNA
AAUUUCCUGGCUUUGGAAAAUUGAAAAGCUAAAUCUUCUGUCUCAUUUGAUGACUAUUUCUUUUUCCUAUUACUUUUUCUUCACAUAUACAGGCAGUUGCAUAAAAUAACAGUUAGAAAAUCUUUGAAAAUAGACCCUUAAUAAGUGAAACGCAGGAACAGGCAUUAUUCAGUACAAAGAGGAGAAGCACCACAAGAACAAGGGAAUUCUUGCUGAAGACACAUUUACUCCUCUGGAAAGGAGGGGCACCUAACAUCUCAUUGAAGAUCCCAAGACCAGAAGAUUGAGAAUAAAGGCUGUAGUUCAGCCCCCAAAUGGAGCUGUGUACAACAGCUCCUGAUGCAGACAGGAGCACAGUGACCUGACUUAAGUGUGCAAAUGGCAAUAUGCACAGACAGGACACAAGGCAUGUCAAGAAAGAGACCCAAGGUUUGCUCUCUGUCACAUACCAAAUUGAUUGCUGAUGGAAGGUGACUGAUUUUCAGAGACUCCUCCUAACACUAACGCUGUUCAGAGACUUGUGCUAGCUAAUGCUGACUUCAUCAGAACUCUCUGGUCAAUGAAAACAACUGUGUGUUGUCUAGUGGCUGGACUGGAAGACAGGAAAGGAUUUGAUUCAAUGCUAGCUAUGCUCCUGACUCAUAGCUUACCCUCCAAGUAAGUCAUUUGACCUUUCUGCAGUUCAGUCAAUCUGGCUGGAAAAUUAUGCGGGAAGAAGGGGAAAGCAGUAUUCUUGCUGAAAACCACAGACGGAAUCUGAGCUGAGUUUUCCUAGAGAAGUAGUACAUUUUUUGGGGGGUGUUUGUAUCUACAGAGAAGCAAAUGAAGAUACAAAAU